rnacentral:rRNA from 1 species
GGGCCCGCACAAGCGGUGGAGCAUGUGGUUUAAUUCGAUGAUACGCGAGGAACCUUACCAGGGCUUAAAUGUAGUGGGACAGGUCUAGAGAUAGACCCUUCUUCGGACUCAUUACAAGGUGCUGCAUGGUUGUCGUCAGCUCGUGCCGUGAGGUGUCAGGUUAAGUCCUAUAACGAGCGCAACCCCUAUCGUUAGUUGCCAGCGAGUAAUGUUGGGUACUCUAGCGAGACUGCCGGUGCAAACCGUGAGGAAGGUGGGGAUGACGUCAAAUCAUCACGGCCCUUACGUCCUGGGCUACACACGUGCUACAAUGGCCGGUACAGAGAGCAGCCACUACGCGAGUAGGAGCGAAUCUUCAAAGCCGGUCUCAGUUCGGAUCGCAGUCUGCAACUCGACUGCGUG